rnacentral:tRNA from 1 species
ACUAUUUUGACAGAGGAUUGUGAUGGUUUUAGAAGUCAUUUACAUAUAAUUUAUAAUUAUAUAAAUAGUA